rnacentral:rRNA from 1 species
CCUACGGGAGGCAGCAGUGGGGAAUAUUGGACAAUGGGCGAAAGCCUGAUCCAGCAAUGCCGCGUGAGUGAUGAAGGCCUUAGGGUUGUAAAGCUCUUUUACCGGGGAUGAUAAUGACAGUACCUGGAGAAUAAGCUCCGGCUAACUCCGUGCCAGCAGCCGCGGUAAUACGGAGGGAGCUAGCGUUGUUCGGAAUUACUGGGCGUAAAGCGUACGUAGGCGGUUAUUCAAGUCAGAGGUGAAAGCCUGGAGCUCAACUCCAGAACUGCCUUUGAAACUAGAUAGCUAGAAUCUUGGAGAGGUGAGUGGAAUUCCGAGUGUAGAGGUGAAAUUCGUAGAUAUUCGGAAGAACACCAGUGGCGAAGGCGACUCACUGGACAAGUAUUGACGCUGAGGUACGAAAGCGUGGGGAGCAAACAGGAUUAGGAUACCCUGGUAGUCCACGCCGUAAACGAUGAUAACUAGCUGUUCGGGCUCUACGAGCUUGAGUGGUCGCNGCUACGCAUAAGUUAUCGUCCGUGGAGGUACGUCGCGAGAUAACUACAANAGAGUAGAGCGNGAGAGUGCGACGCGACGACGAGGGAGAGG